GAUGAAGAACGUAGCGAAAUGCGAUAAGUAAUGUGAAUUGCAGAAUUCAGUGAAUCAUCGAAUCUUUGAACGCACAUUGCGCCCUUUGGUAUUCCAAAGGGCAUGCCUGUUCGAGCGUCAUUUGUACCCUCAAGCUUUGCUUGGUGUUGGGCGUCUUGUCUCCAGUCCGCUGGAGACUCGCCUUAAAGUCAUUGGCAGCCGGCCUACUGGUUUCGGAGCGCAGCACAAGUCGCACUCUUUUCCAGCCAAGGUCAGUAUCCAACAAGCCUUUUUUCAACUUUUGACCUCGGAUCAGGUAGGGAUACCCGCUGAACUUAAGCAUAUCAAUAAGCGGAGGA
rnacentral:misc_RNA from 1 species